rnacentral:rRNA from 1 species
AGCGAACGCUGGCGGCAGGCCUAACACAUGCAAGUCGAACGGACCCUUCGGGGUUAGUGGCGGACGGGUGAGUAACACGUGGGAACGUGCCUUUAGGUUCGGAAUAGCUCCUGGAAACGGGUGGUAAUGCCGAAUGUGCCCUUCGGGGGAAAGAUUUAUCGCCUUUAGAGCGGCCCGCGUCUGAUUAACUAGUUGGUGAGGUAACGGCUCACCAAGGCGACGAUCAGUAGCUGGUCUGAGAGGAUGACCAGCCACACUGGGACUGAGACACGGCCCAGACUCCUACGGGAGGCAGCAGUGGGGAAUCUUGCGCAAUGGGCGAAAGUCUGACGAAGCCAUGCGGCGUGAAUGAUGAAGGUCUUAGGAUUGUAAAAUUCUUUCACCGGGGACGAUAAUGACGGUACCCGGAGAAGAAGCCCCGGCUAACUUCGUG